GUUACGGCUAAUUAUUUGAUAUAAAGCAGAUGGAAAAUAUUUUCGUCUAGUGAUUUGAUAUAAAGCUGAUAGGAAAUGAUUUCAGUUAGUGAUUUUUGUGCCGAUGAGAAAUGGUUCAAGUGAGAGAUUGAUCAUUGUCCCCGAGGUAGGUGAGCUGAUUAGACUGAUUCUUGAGGAGGCACAUUGUUCCCGAUAUUCCAUCCAUCCGGGUACAACAAAGAUAUAUCAUGACCUGAGCCAGCACUAUUGGUUGUGUGGUAUGAAGAGAGAUAUUGCAGAUUUUUUUCGAGGUGUUUGACUUGUCAACAGGUCAAGUGUGAGCACCAACGACCUGGAGGUAUAUCUCAGAGGAUUCAUAUUCCUACUUGGAAGUGGGAGCAGAUCACUAUGAACUAUGAUUUAGGACUACCUACCACUGUGAGUGGUAAUGACCGCAUUUGGGUGGUUGUCGAUCGGUUGACCGAAUCUCCCAUUUCAUCCUGGUUCAGUAAAGUAUACAUUGGAAAAGUUAGUCAAGCUUUAUAUCAGCCAGAUUGUGUGAUUGCAUGGAUUCCUAGUUUCUAUUCUCUCUAAUUGAGGUUUUAUUUUCACAUUCCAUUUCUGGAAAGCUUUGCAGCAUAGUUUGGGUACUCGGUUAGAUAUGAGUACAACUUGUCAUCCUCAGAAAGAUGGUCAGCCUGAGCGGACGAUUUAAGUGUUGGAGAACAUGCUCCGAGCUUGUGUGAUUGAUUUUGGUGCUAGAUGGGAUCAACAUUUUCCCUCAUCAGAGUUUGCCUAUAACAAUAGUUGUCAUUCCAAUAUUCAGAUAACCCCUUUUGAGGCGUUGUAUGGCAGAUGGUGUAGAUCUCUGAUCAGAUGGUUUGAUUCAGCUGAGAUGGAUUAAUUAGAUACAGACUUGCUUAAAGAUGUUAUUGAUAAGGUUUUUACAAUCCAGGGUAGACCGUUGACAGCCUAAAGUUGAUAGAAGUGAUAUGCGGAUUGGAGAGAUUGAGCCCUAGUAUUCAUCAAGGGUGAUCAUGUUUGGCUUCAAGUGUCACUUAUGAAUGGUGUGAUGAGGUUCGAAAGAAGGGAAGCUUAGCCCUAGAUUCAUUGGAACCUUUGGUAUCUUGAGUCGCGUGGGAGAGGUGGCCUAUAAGUUGGCCUUGCCACCUAGUUUGUCAGUUGUGCAUCCUAUGUUUCAUGUUUCCAUGCUUCGAAAUUAUGUGUCGGAUGAGUCCCAUGUACUUUCCCUUGAUUCAGUUGAGUUGGGUCUAGACUUAUCUUUUGAGGAGGAGCCUAUAGCCAUUUGGAUAGGCAGGUCCGGAAGCUUAGGACCAAGGAAAUCAGUUCAAUGAAGGUGCAAUGGAAGCAUCGUUCAGUUAGAGAGGUGACCUGGGAGACUAAGUUAGAUAUGUGUGCUAGAUAUCCUCUAUUUUUUAAGCUCUAUGUAUUUUCUUUUGCUUUAUGUUCAAGGACGAAAAUGGUUUUAAGUGGUGGAUAAUAUAUGACCCAAUUGGUCAUUUUUUUUAAAAUUCAUGAAUUUACCAUCUUCUAUAAUUCAGUUUAAAAAGUUGGUUUUCAAAUUUGAGUUAAGAGUUGAGAAUUUGGUAAGUUUUGAGUUGGAAAGGCUAAGUUGUUAAGAAAGUGUUUUCCGGUGUCUUUUGGAGUUUCAAGUGUCGGAAUGAGAUUCUGUUGAUUCCAUCAGUCCCGUAAUGUGAAAUCUGGUACGAGAGAGUUGUCAGGUUUUUAUUACAAGUCUUUUUGAGGAUUUGAGGUCCUAAGUUGUGAAAUUGUGGAAUUUUAACUUUUGAGUUGACUUUGGCCUACAUUCGGGGUUCAGAUACUUGGAUCGGAAUUCUGAGAGUUCUGUUGGAUUUAGGGGAUGAUUUUAGGCCUAGGUAAGGUCCUAGUUGAUUUUUGAGAGGUCCCAAGUUAGUUUUAGCCUUUUAGGCAUGAGUUAGUUUCUUGUGGUUUUCACAGGUGCCAGGUCAAGGAGACCUAAGAUUCCUAUUUUAACGGUUUCAUUGAGUCCAAAAUGUCAAGUAUAAUUUAUUUGAAUAUGUUGUUUGUGUGCACGGUGUUCCGAACAAAUCCUGAGAGUCCUUUCGAGGUUUAGAGUGUUGGUUGAUUUUCUGAUGUCUGAGUUCUAGUGCGCUCUGCUUUUGCGAGAGAUGGCUCACUUUUGUGAGGAUCACUUCAGCAAGGUUUGAGUCUCUUUUGCUAAGGGUUAACCCCUAUUGACCUUUGCAUUUGCGAAGAAACCAUCGCUUAAGGACCUUCACUUUUGGUCGUAGGAGAGAGGCCCGCAAAGCGAACCCCUCUCGCUUUUACAACAUCAAAGAGGGUUUUCGGAACCAUUUUGGAUUACCAUAUUUUUACCAUUUUUGAGUUUUAGGAGCUUUCGGGUGGCGAUUUGGACAAGGUUUUUGGAGGAAAAUCUUUGGAUUGUGUGGCUUUGGAAGUGAUUCAGAAGGGAAAGAUUCAACUCUUGGAGUGAUUGUUGAUUGAUUUAAGGCAAGUGGCUUUAUAAACCUCGUAUUAUAGUAAAUAAAUUCAUGUACUUCCUUCGUUGAUUGUGUGUUGGGGGUAAUGGUGAUGAGGUGAAGGGUUUAAAUUGUCCAGUUAUUAUAUCUAAAUGAAUAAAAAGGGGUUGAAAUGGAGAAGGUUUUAUAAUGAACAUGAUGAUGUGAAUUACCUUAUUGUAUGAUUGUGGACUUGAAUUGUAUGAUUUGUUGUCUCUUCUGUAUGGUGUGAUAUUUCUUAUGUGCAUUGAUUGUGAAUAUCGUGAUGAUUCAUUAUGCCGAGGUCUUUGCCGGCGAGUGUUGUGAUGUCGAGGUCAUUUCUGGAAAAAUGUUUAUAAAGACAAUGGGAAAUGGUUUCAGCUAGUGAUAUAAAGUCGAUGGAAAAUGGUUACGGCUAGUGAUGUAAAGUCGAUGGGAAAUGGUUUCAGCUAGUGAUAUAAACCGAUGGGAAAUGGUUCCGGCUAGUGAUAUUUUGCUGAUGGAAAAUAGUUCUGGUGAGAGAUUGAUCAUUGUGAAUUGAUGCAUUUGAGGCCUAUGCGUGACUUGUUUGCUAAUUAUGAUUGAUGUACUUGUUCCGUGUAACUGAACUACUUGACAUUGACAUUGACUUAUUUGACUUUUUUGAUGGUUGAAUUAUGAAGAUUGAACUCUGGAUAUUGGGCCUUUUGAGCCGUGUAUUGUAGAAAUUCUAGGUUGGGUUGAUUUAUUUGUAGGUUGUAGUUUGAGGAGGUUCAGUUAGAGUGCAGAGGAUAUUUGUUUUCUAGCUAGAUGCCUUGUUUUCUAGGUUGCUUGCUGGGUACCGUGUUUUUGGUACUCACCCCUUGCUUCUACACUUAUGUAGGUUUUGAGUUCGGACCCGUGUGAUCUUCUUCUUUUCUCCUAACAGUCGAGGCUCAUCGAAGGAUUUGAGAGGAAGUUGUUUGUCAUCAUGAUGGACCCUCUUUUCCUUUCCUUUAAUCUUCUUCCUACUUGAGAAACAAAGACUGAGACUUAUAUUUAUCUUUUGAAUUCUGUAUUUUUGUUAGUGGCUUGUACACUUGACAACUAGGUUUUGGGGUAUUGUUUAGAAUGAAUAAGUUUUCUGCCCUUGUCUUAUUCUUGCUUUAUAUUUCUGCAUUUCUUUAGUUCUCGUUGGGUUGAGGUUGACUUGGGAGAAGGCAAGUGUCAUCAUGUUGGGUUUUGAUGAGUCGAGUAUGUUUCAAACUGUAUUAGUGAUCGAAUCAUAUAUCAUGCAGAGAGAAUUCAGAUAAGUGGAAAUUAUAUAACUAGAGAAGUUUUCAACUAUGUAUACUGAUAAGGAGUAUUCCGAGUAGGACAAAGGAGAAUUUUGGGAUGUUAGGGUAUAUUAGUGGUACUGCAUGUGCGAACCUUGUUGAGAGUGCUUGUAUGAGAUCUAUCAUGGGAAAUUUUAGUUUCCCGAUUGCCUUGGUAUUUAUCUUGUCGUUUAGUACACGUUUCAACUAAAUGUGAUUGACUUUAAGGGCUAUUUGGCCUAGUUUUGCCGUUUUCAGAAUUUGUUUACUAUCACAACUACUAUUCCAACAUCCCGACAGUGUUAUUACAUAUGCUUGGGUGUAUCGUUCCCUGGGUGGUUACUGGAUCAUCUCAAUCUUUGGGUUAUAUUAAUUGGGACCUCCCUUCCUGCUAUGAGUGUUUGGUGGUUCGUUUUGGCUUAGCUUAAUGUUUUAGCAGGUAUUAGUUCAGAAUUUCUUGUGGUUAUGUGGGAAAAUGAUUCAACUUAAUGGUUGUGUUGUGGUUUAGAGAGUUUCGAUUCAGGUUUGGUUCAUGGGUUAGUCCGUGGCUUGGUAAUCACUCCUGGUUUGCAGUUUUUUUCAAUUUUGGGUUUGGAAGUUCAAGUCUUGACAGUUGAUCCUGAUGGUAUGGUCCUACGAAUAAGUUCACUUCGGAAAGCAAAGGCUGACUUUGGAAAUUAGGCCUCAUGAUCUAAGUAACUUCGAGUAUUCUUCUUUAGCCUUCUUUAUGUUUGGGAUGAACAUGGUUUUUAAUAGUGGAUAAUGUAAUGACCCUGAAGGUCAUUUUUUGAAAAUUAUUAUUUUUACCCCUUUAGAUUGUUAACCCGAGUCUUAUUUGAACAGUUUGUGAAGCUGGUUUUGAAAUUUGAUUGUAAAGUUGUGAUUUUUGGAAGUUUUAGAGUUUUGGAGAAUUGAAGUUGUUAAAAGUGAUUUUGUUAACAAUCGGAGCUAUGAGUCUCGGAGUGGAAUUCUGUCAAGUCCAAUAGCUCUGGAAUGUGAAUUUUGAGUUAGUAGGACUAUUGGCUCAAGUCUUGAGGUAUUUAGAUGAGUUUUGAAAGAGCUUUUGUGUUUUGAAAGUUUCAAAUCAUAAGAUAGUUGACCAAAGUCAAAAUUUGGUGAUAGUGGUCUAGAUGUAUUGUUAGUUUGGGUCCCAAGGCUUUUGGUUUGAUUUUGAUCCAUUAUACCAGAUGUGGAAAAAGUUAAGGCUAAAGUUUGACUUUAGUCAACGUUUAAGGUUAGAAAGAUUAUUUUCGUGUUUUGAUGAUUUCACUAUGUCCAAAUGGUGAUACUUGACCUAGUUGAAGGCUUGGUUGAAUUUCUGAAGCUUUUGGAUUAAUUCCAUUUUCUUAUUUGGAAAUUCGGAGUUUCUUAAGUUAAAGUUGACUUUGGUCAACAUUAGGUUAAGGUGACCUAGUUUGGAUGUUUUGAUGAUUCCAUUGAGUUUGAAUUAUAAUUUUCAAGCUAGAAACAUAUUUGGUUUGUGUUCAGAAGGUUCCAAAUGAGUUUUGGGUGAGUUUCAAGUUUUUAGGGUGCCUUGGCGUUGUUUCAGCAAUUUGCGUCAACUAAAAGGUUUGUUAUUAGUUUUAAAGAAUGAAAAAUUAUUUCGAAACUUCUGAAGGUUUUAAGCAUGAAUUAUAUGUCUGAUCUGCAAAGUUUGGUGCAUUUCUGCUAAGUCGAGAUUGGACUUUUAUUGUAAUAUAUGAAAUACUUGUUUUUUUAAAAAUUAAAACAGGACCAAAGGUCCACUCUGUUAACUCAAAUGGAAACAAAGCCCAAGUCUAAAAUGAAACAAAAAAAAAAAAACAGAAAAACGCCAAGACAACAAAAAUUAAAAAAGAAACAAACACAUACAGACAAAGCCCAAAAUAUCCGUCCGAGAAAGCUGAUGUCACCGGAGAAGCUAGAUUCGCACUCCAGUAAGCUCCAGUCUCCAUUCCCAGAUCGACGGGACGAAGGCAAUAUCCACGAGCUUGGGUGAAUUUCAUUCAGCAUUUACCAAGUCUCACCAAUGUUAUGAAAUCAACACCUUUGAAGACUUCUUCAGCUCCCAGCUUGUCCUCAACCACGACAAAUCCAGAUUGAGCUCCAUAGAGCUGAUACCACUGCCUCAAUUCAUGUUCAAGAUCAGUACCCACCCCUAUGUCCAAGGUAGUAACACAUAUUCAGCUGGAUAUCUUUCUUCAAAUGUGGAAUUUGCAAUUUGAAGGGGUGUUUGAAACUGCGUCUCUACUAACUCCUUCAUGAGUGUCUCACCCCCUCUUAUCUCUCCAUCUUCUAUCCACUAUUGAUGAUCUCUCUGUUGAUCUUCAUCCCUUAUUUCUCCAUUGUGAAAUGUUGUUAUUUUAUUACCAUUGUCACUUUUCGAGGUGCUAUUUAUAGUGUUUGCUUUCUCACCCCCUCUUUCUUGAUAAUUAGCAAAUGUAUUAGUUAUCCAUUCUUGUGUAGAAGAAUGAUGGAGUCCCUUAUCAACCUGGCCUCCUUGACUUCACUGGCUUGAUCAUUUACAUUGUCGUUCCCUCCAGUAGAUUCCUCAAGCUGCUCUAUUUCAUUUUCUUCAGUUAGUGCAUCAAAAGAAUUUUUGGUAUUAAUACUUGUUAUUGCUAUGCCUUUAUCCCUUUUUUCUUGAUCAGAACUAUGCUUGCGAGGUUCUUUAAUAUUGACUGGCUUCCAGUAUCUUCGAAUUAUUCUUCUUCUUCUUGAUGCAA